rnacentral:rRNA from 1 species
UACAGAGGUCCCAAGCGUUGUUCGGAUUCACUGGGCGUAAAGGGUGCGUAGGUGGCGGGGUAAGUUUGAUGUGAAAUCUCCGGGCUUAACCCGGAAAUGGCAUUGAAUACUAUUCUGCUCGAGGUUUGGAGGGGGGACUGGAAUUCCGAGUGUAGAGGUGAAAUUCGUAGAUAUUCGGAAGAACACCAGUGGCGAAGGCGGCUCACUGGACUGGUAUUGACGCUGAGGUGCGAAAGCGUGGGGAGCAAACAGG